CUAGCAUCACAAAAAUUUCAUUAAAUGCUGAAAGGCAUCAUACUUGUCAUUGAAUUGCUUAAAUUUAGGACUGAUGUAAUCUUUGGGACAUGAUGUGGCAGCUACCCUAGCAAGGUAUAGCAGUUUGAGAUCAAAUACGAAAAACUAAGGCUUUUGUUUUUUUUUUUUUUCUAGCAACUUGUAAAGAUAUUUGGUGACAAAACCCUGGGUUUUAGUGGAUUGUGCCACCAAGAAGGAUAUGCUCCAGGUUGGAAGUUUAUGGUGAUAUAUUUUCCUAUGGAAGCAAUCAAGGUGUGGG
rnacentral:lncRNA from 1 species